rnacentral:rRNA from 1 species
AUUAGAUAAAAAACCAAUGCCCUUCGGGGCUUUAUGGUGAUUCAUAAUAACUUAACGAAUCGCAUGGCCUUGAGCCGGCGAUGGUUCAUUCAAAUUUCUGCCCUAUCAACUUUCGAUUGUAGGAUAGAGGCCUACAAUGGUUUCAACGGGUAACGGAGAAUUAGGGCUCGAUUCCGGAGAGGGAGCCUGAGAAACGGCUACCACAUCCAAGGAAGGCAGCAGGCGCGCAAAUUACCCAAUCCCGACACGGGGAGGUAGUGACAAUAAAUACUGAUACAGGGCUCUUUUGGGUCUUGUAAUUGGAAUGAGUACAAUUUAAAUCCCUUAACGAGGAACAAUUGGAGGGCAAGUCUGGUGCCAGCAGCCGCGGUAAUUCCAGCUCCAAUAGCGUAUAUUAAAGUUGUUGCAGUUAAAAAGCUCGUAGUUGAACCUUGGGUCUGGCUGGCCGGUCCGCCUCACCGCGCGCACUGGUCCGGCCGGACCUUUCCUCUUGGGGAUCCGCAUGCCCUUUACUGGG